rnacentral:rRNA from 1 species
AUUGAACGCUGGCGGCAGGCCUAACACAUACAAGUCGAGCGGAUGAGAAGAGCUUGCUCUUCGAUUCAGCGGCGGACGGGUGAGUAAUACCUAGGAAUCUGCCUGGUAGUGGGGGACAACGUUUCGAAAGGAACGCUAAUACCGAAAAAGUCCUACGGGAGAAAGCAGGGGACCUUCGGGCCUUGCGCUAUCAGAUGAGCCUAGGUCGGAUUAGCUAGUUGGUGAGGUAAUGGCUCACCAAGGCUACGAUCCGUAACUGGUCUGAGAGGAUGAUCAGUCACACUGGAACUGAGACACGGUCCAGACUCCUACGGGAGGCAGCAGUGGGGAAUAUUGGACAAUGGGCGAAAGCCUGAUCCAGCCAUGCCGCGUGUGUGAAGAAGGUCUUCGGAUUG